AAUGAAUUAAUCAUUAAAAAUAAUAAAAGAAUCUCUCUGUCUCGCAAUUCUACAGUCUACUUAUGUUCUCCAAAUAAGAUAUGUGAGCGCGCCCUGCAAUAUCUUCUUUCAGACCAGAGUCGAACAAGCUGAGCUUGAAGGGUCAAACAAAGCAGGAAGCAAGUAUUUCCUGCCAUCAACACCGUGUGCAUUGUAGCUAGCACCAGUUGUAGCGUCCACCAAGAGAUCCCCUGCAUAACCGGGAUAGGCUCCCUUUCCAUAUACCCCAGGGCAAGCCGAUGCAGCUUCCAGGGGAGCCUCCUUUGGACCUUGGAAGUAUCCAUUUCCAAAUGGAUUGGU
rnacentral:misc_RNA from 1 species